rnacentral:rRNA from 1 species
GUGCCAGCAGCCGCGGUAAUACAGAGGGUGCAAGCGUUAAUCGGAAUUACUGGGCGUAAAGCGCGCGUAGGUGGUUUGUUAAGUUGAGUGUGAAAUCCCCGGGCUCUACCUGGGAACUGCAUCCAAAACUGGCAAGCUAGAGUAUGGUAGAGGGUGGUGGAAUUUCCUGUGUAGCAGUGAAAUGCGUAGAUAUAGGAAGGAACACCAGUGGCGAAGGCGACCACCUGGACUGAUACUGACACUGAGGUGCGAAAGCGUGGGGAGCAAACAGGAUUAGAAACCCCCGUAGUCCAUUAGAUACCCUGGUAGUCC